UAGAGAGAAAAUUAUUUUAGUAACACACCUUUGUAGGCAUUAUAUUCUAGUUCUGAUGAAUUGUCUUUAAGCAUUUGUUGUUUGCCUAUAAACCAAAGUGGACCUGGAAUUCUUCUGGUUUCCUCAGGUAUCUAUGAUUCUUCAAACUAAUGUUUCCAUUUUUUUCUCAGUCUUUUGAUUUGGAACCAGUGAGAACUAAGCCUGCCCUUUUUCCUGGAGCUCAGCAAACUGAAGCUAGAUAACUUGGUAUGAGCUUCAGUGAAAUCAUCACAAGAGCUUAUCUUUAGACAAUCUGAGUGCUUGUUCCUGUGUGGGCCACUCAGAGUUUACCUGAACACUCAAUGACAUCAUCAGAAACAUUCAAACUGCAAAUGAUGCUUUGACCCUUACAUCUGUCAAUGGCAAGUUCCGUUUCUGGCCUCAGUUCUUGAGCUCAGUCAAGAAAGAAUUCAGAGCCAAACUCUCAGAAUCUGCGAACACUGGAGAAGCUCUGAAAACCAAGUUAUACUUCAGAAAGGGACAUUUACAUGUAUGUAUAAGGCAAAUCUCCAUUUGUAAAGGCGUCUCCCUUGGCUAUACCAGGAAGAGGGGGAGAAAGUCUCAGCCUCUAGAAACUCUUUUCAGUGGUGAAGGCAGUGACUUACACCUGCAUAACAACCCUCCCCUCCUAACCGUGCUUGUCCUGGUAACCUCCUAUAACUGACUUUUCACCUCCAACAUACUUUUUUUUGUCUUUAGCUGAACAUGAUAUUUAAGGUGAUGACUUUGGCCAUUGGGGAGAGUUAUUCAGUUUUUCUGGGUUUCAACCACAUGUACAUGUUACUUAACUUUUGUUAGUUUUUCUCUUGUUAACCUAUCUAAUAUCAAUUUAAUUAUGAAACCAGCCAAAGAACCUAGAAGACAGGAAGGGAAGACUUUUUUUUUUAACCCCUAUGCUACUAAUGUAAUCUGAACUAAUAUAGCUUUCAUUGCAUCUUGUACUCCAUUAUAACUCAUUUUAUUAGACUAUAAUAAAAUAG
rnacentral:lncRNA from 1 species